CAAACUUUAAGCGUCAAAGUCACAAAUUAUUUGCAUUUUUUAUUUAACAUUUCCUUUUCCAACAAAUGCUCUCCUGUUAUGAUAUACAAGGUGUCCCUCACCACCGCACCAAAACUCCGCCAGAGCACACCAGACCCAACCCCAAGCCAAACGAACCCAAAAGCCGCAGCCCCACCCCCACCCGCCCCCGAGCUACAGGGCGCCGAAGCCUCAAUCACCAAUUUGUGAUUGUUGUAAAACUUUACAUUUAAAAAAAUAAUAAAAAAAUUGGCAACGUUG